UACCGACCUCGCUGGCCCUUGGCUCCCCCAGGACAAGGGGUCCGGCGUGAACGUCUCCACACCCUUCCUGCUCUAGCACCUCCAGGUCUGAGAACAUGAGGGACUUCCCCAUCUCACACACUCACUCAACGCCUUACCCAUCUGGUUAUUAGCCCUCUGGGCAGGCAACAGGUCCCCUGGGCCUCCCUGCGCCACCCCAGCCACACUCCAGGUGCCCCUCUCCCUCUCUGCCUGGACACGCACUUUGCAGUCACCCACGCCCCAGAUCCUUUCUCCCACCCAAGGGCUGUGCUCCCUGGAAACCCCGACACUGCCAUUUGCUGUCCCCCCACCUGCUUUUCUGCGGCCAGGUCCCCACGUAGCCAGACACUGCUGCUGUCCCCACCCUGACCGCUCAGCAAUCAGGGGCUGGCCCAGGAGCUGUGGCCUCCACAUGGUCCAGAGCAGGAGGACCGUGAGAAGGGGGCCAGUCCCCACCACGGGGUGGGGGAGACAGGAGGUCAUUAUAGGCCCAGAGAAUCACCCAGAGGCACCUUCCCACAGAGGCCUCGCUGGGUGGCCAGGCCCAGAGGGCAGGGGCACUGGGCCUCAGGGCAGCUGGGCAGUUUGGCUUUGCUUUGUGGAUCUGGAUGAACUGGAAAUGCGAAGGUCCACGCUGGGUGUACUGAGCCGGGCAAACUGGAAGGGCUUCAAAGAGCCGGAGCAGGACCAGGUGGCUGGUCCGUACCGCCAUGGCCAAGCCCGGCACUCUCACUUGUGGCAUUGGCCCCGAGGGCCCGGUUACCACCCCACGCCAGCCCCCAGCCCCCAGACCCUACACGCAGAGCAGGGCCCACGAUGGCCUGCCCCUCAGCAGCGGGCAGCUCCUGCCAGCCAAGUACAGGCCCCUUUCUGUGUCAGAUGUUAAUCAAACGCAUCCUGAUAAUGAUCAAUGGGGACGACUUGGCAGCCCGGGCCUGGCGGGCCUCCAGGCCCACCUCCAGCUACAGGAAGGACGAGGGUGGCAAAGUGAUCUUUGGCAAGGGGCAGCACAUUGUCCCAGAGCUGUGGGAAAGUGCUUGAUGUGCAAACAUUUCCUUAAAAAUGGACUUAGAAGGAAACAUCCACGAUGGCCUUAUUAAAGAUCAUCAGCCCGGCUGACCAGGCACAGAACUUGAGGCCCCGUCCGUGCCCCAGACUCCAAGAGCAGUUGUGUCAAGCGUGGCCACACCAAUCCUGUGGCAGUGGGAAGGGGCAGGGGCCUCGGCAGCACUUUCUUGGGGUUUUACCAUCACACACGCCUCCAGGUUGGCUGGGGAGGAAGCCCGUGCCCCUGCCACCCCAAGCACACUGUGGCUUCCAGGGGCUCUGGGCUGGCAGAGGUGAGGAGGGGGCCACGGGCAGUGGGGCCCUCCGGGGCUGCCACACAGGAAUGUCGGGGACUGGCUCAGUUCCUGAACCUGCCAUAUGGCCCUGAGUCCAGGGACCCAGGCUAGUAGCCAAGGAGGAACCCUGGGGCUGGGUCCACAGCCCUCCAGGCCUCUGCAUGAAGCCAUUUGUCAAAGGUGUUUCCCAAAAGCUUCUCUGGAAGGAGCUGCCCUCUGAGACGUCGGCUUGGGCCUGCACCAGACAGACAUCUGGGGGCUCUUGGCAAAAGCACCAGCCAUCCUGAUAUCGAAAGUCCCUCCGGGUGUCCCUGCCUCUCGGUGCCGGUGAGCGAGCUGCCAGGGAACCAGAGACCAAGAGAGGCCCGGCUCCUCUUGCCCAGACAACAGCCCAGGGCAGGGGGCUGCCCACAAGUGUGCCCCGCUGAUCCCCAUGUCUCGAAAGAUCCCCCAAGACACCACCCUGCUUACUCAGGCAUCAUUAGCCACUUGACAGAGAGGCCCGGGGCAAGGAGACGCCAAGCCAGAAGGACGGGAGGCCCUGCCAGCUGACGUGGUGUCAGCACCCAGACAGAAAGGCGGGCAUGGGCACUACACGGCCUGGGUCCUGGUGGCCCUGCUUCCAAGCAGAAGACCGGAACCCAGACCGACUCCACCAUCUGCCACACUGCUGCGCUGCUUGCGCCCCUGCACUCCAUGCCCUCUUUGUGUCCAGCACGUGGCCCUGGGCACACGGGCUCAGGCAUCCACCAGGAGAGACACACAGAGAGGAGCAGGCUGUGCAGAGAUGAGGCAGAGGCCGAGGGACACGGCUGCAGCCAGGACGCCUGGGCCCCCGCAGCUGGAGAGGCAGGAAGGGCCCUCCCCUGGGGCCUCCAGGCGGAGCGCGGCCCUGCCAUGUCUUGAUCUUGGAGUUGUGGCCUCCAGACAGUGAGACAAGACACUUCUGUCAUUCAAAGCCCCCAGGUAGUAGUACUUCAUCACAGCCACCCUGGGAAAUCAGAACAACGUACCAGCAGCCUGUGUUUGGGGAGGGCCAUGCCAGCCAGCUCCUACACUGCCACAUGAACUUCCCUUUCUGGCCAUAUGUCCAGUCAACUGGGGAUGUUCUGGGAAAAAAUAUAGGUGCCAGAGCUCCACCAGGGACACAGGCCCCAGGACCCUGAAGGAUGGUGUUCCGCUCACAACCAGCCAGGCACAGUCCUCCCAGGGCCCCACAACAUCCAGCCUGGAGUCCCCUCCCCUGGCCACUGCCCAUCACAGACAGGCUGGAAUGGAGAUCCUGUCCUGAGCACCCUCACAGCCAGCAGUGGGCAGAGUCACUGCCUUUUAGUUAUGAAGCAAAACAAUGCACCCCGUGGAAAGCAAGACCGCGGGGCCCCGACGCCCCCAAUGCAUUCUUUGCAUCUCAAAAAAUGCCAGAGGAUCUGAU